rnacentral:rRNA from 1 species
GAUCCUGGCUCAGGAUGAACGCUAGCUACAGGCUUAACACAUGCAAGUCGAGGGGAAUCGAUAUUGGAAGCUUGCUUCCGAUAGGCGUCGACCGGCGCACGGGUGAGUAACGCGUAUCCAACCUGCCCACCACUUGGGGAUAGCCUUGCGAAAGUAAGACUAAUACCCAAUGAUAUCUCUAGAAGACAUCUGAAAGAGAUUAAAGAUUUAUCGGUGAUGGAUGGGGAUGCGU